CCCUUAGAUGUUCUGGGCCGCACGCGCGCUACACUGACGAAUGCAACGAGCUUAUAACCUUGGCCGAAAGGUCUGGGUAAUCUCCAAAUUUCGUUGUGAUGGGGAUAGAUUAUUGCAAUUAUUAAUCUUCAACGAGGAAUGCCUAGUAAGCGCAAGUCAUCAGCUUGCGUUGAUUACGUCCCUGCCCUUUGUACACACCGCCCGUCGCUCCUACCGAUUGAAUGGUCCGGUGAAGCGUUCGGACCGUGGCCUUUGGACGGUUCGCCGUCUGUUGGCUGCGGGAAGUUCGUUAAACCUUAUCAUUUAGAGGAAGGAGAANUCGUANCA
rnacentral:rRNA from 1 species